UGUCCCAGAAAUCUACUGUGGAAUUUAUAAAAAGCAACAGAAUUUUCUGGGGGAGGUCGCAAACUUUAUCCCAGAAAGAGCGCUCGAGGUCAGGCUGGCAGCCGCUGCCUCCCCCUGCUGCUUUGCACCAUCUGGAGUGUCAGCAAUAAUCCGACCGUAGUGCUGAGCUAUUUGACGGCAAAAACUAGGACUUCUCAAGGACGCGGAACGGUGCCACACUUAGCUGUGGGGACCAGACCUCUCUUGGGGUGGAUAAAUAAUGAAUAGAUUCUGCUUAAGCUCAAAAUACUCAUUCUGUGUUGGAAAAUUAGACAGAUAAGACAGGAAAAAGGUGCAGUGGCUGACUGCAGUGCUUUGGCUCAGUCAUGUACGACUUCUGCUGCCGUGUUACUAAUGUCACGCCACCAGGAAGAACUCAGUCUGCCAGCCAGAGAUACGCCAAGCUCAGCUUCUUCUCUAUAUCCCUAUGUCUUGUCUUAUCACGUCUGAUUGGAGCACGGCACAAAUGGGGGAAAACUCACUAAUAUUUUUGAUGUUUUCCCAUAUAGGUUUCCAAGGAAAUGGACAAAAAGAACAGUUUUUCUUUUUCUUCUUGGUGGAAAUCAGCUGAAUUUGAAUCCUUAUGUUUAUAUGAAUAAAACACCCCAGAAAUCAAGGUCUUUGUAUAUCCGACUGACUGGAUUAGAUGCAAGAAUAGAUUUGGUUUUUUUAAAUUUAAAACUUCAAGUUUGGGUGAUUCCCUCUGCUUCUGCAUCAUGCCAGUUUUAGAAUGCUGCAGAUGAGCAAUUCAUAAUGUAUAAACAUUAUAUAUGAUUUUCAAUGUCGCUU